rnacentral:rRNA from 1 species
GACGAACGCUGGCGGCGUGCUUAACACAUGCAAGUCGAACGGAAAGGCCCUGCUUUUGUGGGGUGCUCGAGUGGCGAACGGGUGAGUAACACGUAAGUAACCUGCCCUUGACUUUGGGAUAACUUCAGGAAACUGGGGCUAAUACCGGAUAGGAGCUCCCGCUGCAUGGUGGGGGUUGGAAAGUUUCGGCGGUUGGGGAUGGACUCGCGGCUUAUCAGCUUGUUGGUGGGGUAGUGGCUUACCAAGGCCUUGACGGGUAGCCGGCCUGAGAGGGUGACCGGCCACACUGGGACUGAGAUACGGCCCAGACUCCUACGGGAGGCAGCAGUGGGGAAUAUUGCACAAUGGGCGGAAGCCUGAUGCAGCAACGCCGCGUGCGGGAAGACGGCCUUCGGGUUGUAAACCGCUUUCGCCUGUGACGAAGCGUGAGUGACGGUAAUGGGUAAAGAAGCACCGGCUAACUACGUG